AAUUUAUUUACAAUUCAAAAUGAUUACAUCCUGUACUUAUAUACAAUAAACAAAAAGAUACAAAACUAUAUAUACAUGGGCCCUAACCAAAAUUGACUGCAGAGGUGACUAGCAGAUCUACACAAAUCUCUGUCAGAGCACUAAUACUGCAGCUGCUGCUACUGCUGUGGCUGAUCUCCAGUACCUUAAUGGAUACUUCUUGGACUUGCCCAAAACUUCGUUAAUCUCUUCUUUCUUGGCUGCCAAUAGUUUUUCCUAGGUGUAAGAUCAAUUUUUAGUGAAGGAAAGUAGAGAUUUUAUGGUGAGAAUUGAAAAGAAAUGAAGGUUAAGAAAGAUGAAAAUGGUGGAAGCUUGUGGACAUGGAGGUUCGGCCAAGGAGAACCAAGGUGGAAGAAGAUAAGUUUUAAUUAUGUAAUUUGUCUUUAUAUAGUCAUAUUUAUCCUAUGGUAGAUUAUAUUAAAUUUUAAUGAUGUAAUAUUGUCAUCAUACUCACAUCAUGCUUAUGUCACAAUGAGGUAAUGCUUAUGUAAUAAUUACAUUUUCUUUCCCUUUUCUUUCGCUUCUCAUUUCCAUUGCAUAUUUCAUGAUUUUAAUUCAUUUUGUGUGUUUUAAUCUUUCUCAUUUUAAUUGACAUUUAGGU
rnacentral:misc_RNA from 1 species